UACGUAGGGCGCAAGCGUUUGUCCGGAAUUAUUGGGCGUAAAGAGCUCGUAGGCGGUUUGUCGCGUCUGCUGUGAAAACCUAAGGCUCAACCUUGGGCUUGCAGUGGGUACGGGCAGACUAGAGUGCGGUAGGGGUGACUGGAAUUCCUGGUGUAGCGGUGGAAUGCGCAGAUAUCAGGAGGAACACCGAUGGCGAAGGCAGGUCACUGGGCCGCAACUGACGCUGAGGAGCGAAAAGCAUGGGGGAGCGAACAGG
rnacentral:rRNA from 1 species